AAUAAAAUGCCUGAAUAAAAAGGAUCAUCUUGAUAGGAUGAAUUAUGUGUAAUACGACACUUUUAUUA
rnacentral:tRNA from 1 species